CGAGCCUCCAGGUGGGUAGGAUUGGAGCAGCAGGUGCCCAGGAAGAGGGAAAGAACAAAGCUCCAGUUUCUGCGCCAUCAUCCCCACAUAAUGGAAGAGGGGCCUGGAAACAGAGGAGGGGCAGGCAGGAACCAAGAAGAAAAUGCAGCCUCCUUCUGGAAACAAGGGCUCCCUCCCGCAGGCUUUCCCGAGGCCGGGUUCAAAAGGCCCAUGUUCACCUGAGUUUUAGGUAACUUACUGGGCAGCCUGAAUUAUAUAGACAAGUUAGGCUCACUUGACCUUCGGGUGUCUGGAUUACCCAAGUAUUUUACAUGUUUAUGAGCGGGGUGGGGAGGGGGACUGAACACUCGCUCAAAGCAAAUGCAAAAUUCGGACUUUGGGGGCUCUGUGCACCUGGCAUGCACCUUUGCUUACCACCGGGAUAGAGCAUCAGAGAGCCACUGUCACGCGACCACCGAGCAGGCCACAGGGGAGCCCCGGCUCAUCCCGGAUGCUGGGCCUUGCCUUCGCUUCUCUUUUAGGAUCUGCCAAAACCCAAAAGUCACCAUCUAAAAACAACUCCAAAGAAAGAUACGUAUCAUCCCCGUUUUACAGAUGAAGAAACUAAGACUCGAGAUCACACCGCUGUUAUGUGUGGGGAGAUGAUUUUCCACGGGUCUCUCACAUUUCUGUAUAUCUUGUGAGCCAAGAUGCCGACUGCCUUUGCUCUGAUCUUUAUAAAGAUGUUUGCACGGUGAA